rnacentral:rRNA from 1 species
UACUGUGCUCAUACCACCCUGAAUACACUCCAUUUCACCUGAUCUCAGAAGCUAAGCAGGAUUAGAUUCAAUUAGUACUUGGAUGGAAGAAGUGUUUUAUAUACAAAGCAC